GAUGAACGCUGGCGGCGUGCUUAACACAUGCAAGUCGAACGAAGCACUUUAUUUGAUUUCCUUCGGGACUGAUUAUUUUGUGACUGAGUGGCGGACGGGUGAGUAACGCGUGGGUAACCUGCCUUGUACAGGGGGAUAACAGUUGGAAACGGCUGCUAAUACCGCAUAAGCGCACAGCAUCGCAUGAUGCAGUGUGAAAAACUCCGGUGGUAUAAGAUGGACCCGCGUUGGAUUAGCUAGUUGGUGAGGUAACGGCCCACCAAGGCGACGAUCCAUAGCCGACCUGAGAGGGUGACCGGCCACAUUGGGACUGAGACACGGCCCAAACUCCUACGGGAGGCAGCAGUGGGGAAUAUUGCACAAUGGGCGAAAGCCUGGUGCAGCGACGCCGCGUGAGCGAAGAAGUAUUUCGGUAUGUAAAGCUCUAUCAGCAGGGAAGAUAAUGACGGUACCUGACUAAGAAGCACCGGCUAAAUACGUG
rnacentral:rRNA from 1 species